GCGCCCAUAGCUCAGUGGUAGAGCGUUUCAUUGACAUUGAAAAGGUUGCAGGUUCGAUCCCUGCUGGGCGCACAA
rnacentral:tRNA from 2 species